rnacentral:lncRNA from 14 species
CCCCUCCCCCACCCACCUUCCAGACCCCCCCCAAAAUUCGGAGGAGCCCGAAAUCGUGGGAGCCUCGGAGCCCGGCCCAGACCCCCCCCUGCUCAGCGCCGCCCCCAAGGAGGGGGAGGGGCAGGAAGAAGAGGAGGAAGAGGGGGAGGGGCAGGAGGAGGCCACGCCCACGCCCCGCCCCCUCGCGGACGGCCCCUCCCCCCUCCGGCAGCGCCAGCUCUGCUCCAGCUCCUGAGCCCCUCCCCCACCCCCUCCCCCACCCCCGGUUCGGGGGGGGCUCAAUAAAGGCUUCGGCCCCUCCCCCACCCCCGAAACUGAGUUGGGAGUUAUUUGGGGGGGGGGAGGGGUGGGACAGGGACGGGAGCCCCAAAAUCCCCCAAAUUCCCCUAAAAUCCCCCAAAUUUUCCCCAGAAUUUCCCCAAAAUCCCCCUCCAUGCCCCCCAAAUUCUCUUCAAACUCUGCCCCCCAAUCAACCCAAAGAAAAUCUGGUCCAAAUUUAAGAUUUUUGGGGUAUUUUCGGGUGGGUUUUGGGGUCACUUUGCAGUGGCUUUGGGGUUGGUUUUUGGGUAUUUUUUGAUGGGUUUUGGGCUAUUUUGGGGUCGGAUUUUUUGCUAUUUUCAGGUGGGUUUUGGGGUCGGAUUUAGGGGUAUUUUUGGGUGAAUUUUGGGCUAUUUUAACGUUGGUUCUGAGCUGGUUUUGGGUGAGUUUUGGGCUAUUUUCCGGUGGGUUUCGGGGUCACUGUAGGGCGGUUUUGGAGUUGGGUUUUGAGGUAAUUUUGGGUUGGUUCUGGGCUAUUUUGGGCUAUUUUUGUGCUUUCGGCUUCACUUUUUAGGUUUCUCCGCUCCGUUCGCGUUCUCUCCUCCUUCUGUCCCUUCCCGGCCUCCGCCCCCACGUGACCUCGGCCCCGCCCCUGCCGCGGCACCACGUGACGCGAGGCGCCGGUGCCGCCAUGAUGGCGGCGGGCGGCGGGGCCGGGCCCGGGCGGGCCCUGGAGGCGCUGCUGGAGAUGGGAUUCGGGGCGCGGCGCGCGGCGAAGGCGCUGGCGCUGACCGGGAACCGCGGGGUGGAACCGGCCAUGGACUGGCUGGUGGCUCACGAGGACGACCCCGACUCGGACUCGGACCCCGAGACCCCCCCGGAUCUGGGGGCGCUGCUGGGGGGGCCCCGGGCGCCCGCGGGGGAGCAGGACGAGACCCAGAAGGCGCUGUUGGAGGCCGGGCAGGAGCGCGAGCAGAGGGAGCUCAGUGACCCCGGGAUUUGAGGCUCAGAUUUUGGGGCUCAGGGUGAUUUCGGGGCUCAGGGUGAUUUUGGGGCUCAGAUUUUGGGGCUCGGGGUGAUUUCGGGGUUCAGGGUGAUUUUGGGGCUCGGGGUGAUUUCGGGGCUCAGGGUGAUUUUGGGGCUCAGAUUUUGGGGGCUCGGGGUGAUUUCAGGGGGCCGCGGGUGAUUUU